rnacentral:rRNA from 1 species
GUGGAGCAUGUGGCUUAAUUUGACUCAACGCGGGGAAUCUUACUAGGUCAGGACCGAUUCAUGAAUGUCACCGUAAUGUGUCGCCGGUACAUGAUUGUUGGAUGAGUGGUGCAUGGCCGUUCUUAGUUCGUGGCACGAGUCGUUGCAUUAAUUUGUUUCGAUUCUACGCCUCUGCGGGCAAAAGAACGUAAAAACGAACGAGACCGUGGCCUGUAUAAAACUACAGGGACAGGGGAACAAUACUACUACACACCAGGAAGGGCACGGCAAUAACAGGUCUGUGAUGCCCUCAGAUGUUCUAGGCCGCACACGUGCUACAAUUGCUUCCGUAGUUGUAGUGCGCGUGUUGUGAGAUCCCCCGCGUAGAGUCAAGUUGAGUCCCCUAGUUGAGAUCGUCGGUUGUAACUAUCUGACGUCGUAACUAGGAAUGCCUCGUACGGUGGGAUCAACGAGUUCCAUUGGAAUCCGUCCCUGCCCUUUGUACACACCGCCCGUCGCUCUUACCGAUGGCGGUGGUUUCGAAUGUCACCGAGUGGGUUGUUGGUUUAAUAUACUCGCGACUCGCAACGUAACGUAAGAAACCGCCGCUAAAGGAAAGAGAAGUCGUAACAAGGCAUCG